AUGGCUGCGGCCCCCGGAGGAGGGGACGUGAAGUGAGGAGGGGGUUGGGAGGGGAGAGGACGCGGGCGAGGAAGACCAGCCCCGGGGCCCCGAAGCGUUUUCAGGCUCCUCGGAAGCUCACCAUCCAUGCCAUCGGAUAAAGUGACUCCUGUGGAAUGCCCUCGUUCCUGUGCCGCACACCCCUGGAGCCCAGGUCUCCUGGUUCCUAGCAUGCCACGAUGCGGCCCCUGCCCGCUGCCCAGCGCCAGAUGCAAGCAAAGCCCCGCUCUUUCAUUGGUGUGUCACCGCGGGCUAAACUUUGGCGUUGCCUUGGUCACGUGCUGCUACAUCCCACCCUCUCUCCUGAGUUUUUCGGUGGCUCUUGAGGGAAAAAAGGAGGGAGCUCGUUAUGGAAUCUGUUUUCCUUCUGUUAUGUGGGUGUAUGCAUUGGAGAGAAGGAUCUUUUUCUCAUGAUUUAUCCAAGAUGCUCAGCUUUAGUGACAUA
rnacentral:sRNA from 1 species